rnacentral:rRNA from 1 species
UACGCUGCGGCUGCUAACCAUCGCUUAAAACGAGAUCUUCGGAUCUACUGGCGCGUAAGUGAGUAACGCGUGGGAACCUACCUUUUAGUACGGGACAACGUCUGGAAACCAACGCUAAUACCGUAUACGCCCUCCGGGGGAAAGGUCAGCCGCUGAAAGAGGGGCCCGCGUCUGAUUAGCUUGUCGGUAGGGUAACGGCCUACCAAGGAUACGAUCAGUAGCUGGUCUGAGAGGAUGAUCAGCCACGCUGGGACUGAGCACACGGCCCAGACUCCUACGGGAGGCAGCAGUGGGGAAUAUUUGGACAAUGGAGGCAACUCUGAUCCAGCAAUGCCGCGUGUGUGAUGAAGGCCCUACGGUUGUAACAGCACUAUCAACGGUGAAGAUGAUGACGGUCGCCGUAAAAGAAGCCCCCGGCUACCUACCUGCCACCAGCCCGCGGUAAUAACCACAACGGGGCGAGCGUUAUUCGGAAUUAUCGGGCCGUAAAGGGCUCGCCAAGCUGCUUGAACAGUAAGACCUGAAAUCCCCGGGGCUCCACCUGAGAACUGGGUUUAUUCUAGCAAGCUAGAGAAAUAGAGACGAACGUGGAACUCCAAAUGUAGAGGUGAAAUCACUAGAUAU